rnacentral:lncRNA from 1 species
AAAAAAUAGUACCGAUCGAGUCCACAUUCCAUCCAAAUCUUUAGCAUGCCUGUUACAAUAAAUUUCUUACAACACAAAUACUGCCACUACAACAGUCCUUACAGAACCAUGAAAAUCUUGCUUUCUACAAUACUUACAAAAUACUCUUUACAACUAACCAAGCCAUGAAAAAAAUUUGCUAAAGUCACUCAGCAACUUCCUGUUACAGUGUUUUCUUCUAAUUAACUCCUGCAACAAACCAUCUCAAGUUUCUAAUCCAAAUCCAUCAACCGAUAUACAUAACUUGCAAGUCUUCAAUUCCCCAAGCCACCUUGGAGACACAUCAGCCAAACCAACUGUCAUCCUCCUGCCACAACAUCCUUGUCAUGAGAAACUCAAUUAUUCAAAAGGCUCUUUGGGCAGAGUAACCAUUGACAUCAUAAAAUAGGGAAGACAGGAUCUAGUAGGAAUCAAUUUACCACCAUAGUCUAGAAAAUUUCCUUGCUGGAUUCCCAUCUUAUUCUCAGCUUUAUUCCAGUCACUAACUCACUAUUCCUCAAUUUAACAGUACGCACAGGAAUCCCUAAAUAUUUAAAGAGGCAAUGAACCAAUAUUCUAGGUCAAAAUCUCCUUAUAUCUUUCUAGAUCAUUCCCAGCUGCCAAAGCAACAAAUAUCACUCUUACGGAAACUAUUUUAUAAACCAAUUAAAUGUUCAAACAGAAUCAGAAUUGAUUUUAGAUUUCUAGCAUUUUUUUCUCCAGCCUCAGUUAAAUCAUCGCUAGACCUACUACUGAAUUAGGCACUGCCCCUUUAAUCUCUCCUUGAGAAAUAGCUCUACAAGUUCUUGCAAGAAAUUAAUAGCAAUAUUGAAGAAAAUGGGGGACAGGGGGCCCCCUGUCUUAAACCUUUCUUAGUUUUAAAAAAGGACCCAACUGGUCAUUAACUCUAACAGAAAACGUUACCACUUUGAACAAUCUGUUCUAUCCAGCAAACAUAAUCAGAAGUAAACACUUUCAGAAAUAAAUAAAAAAUAGUAAGUUGGAGUCUUCGCCACAAACCAAAAAUAUGAUUAUUAACAGAAGUAAAAGCCAAAUUCCUACUUUUUUCUAAACUGAUUACUCCAACACAUAUCAAAUAUCGUAGAAUCGUAAAAGUUAUCUAAUAUUCAAAAGCAUAAUAAGCAAAAGUAAAGGUUAGUUGGAGUCUCGACUGAAAGGAACAUAUGCACUAAGAUUGUUCAUGAUUAAGCAAAUGCUAACAUGGCAUAGAAAAUCAAAAUGUAUAGGUAUAGGAUAUCGUGCACAUAAUUAGUUGUCUUUCUACAUUUUGCAUCUCAAAGAGGAAUGAAUUGUAACACACUAAAAUGAAGGUCGGGCAUUAUGACAAACUCAUCCAUAUGGUACUGUCAAAAAAAGUCCAUAUGGUUAUUGACAAAUCUAUUUUUAUGCAAAUAACCUUAACCUUCAUGCUAUACAAUUUAACCAACUUGGGACUACUGUUGUAAGCACCGACUCUCCAAAUUAUAAAUGCAUUCACUAAUACUACAAGAAUCUUUGGCACUCAAACAUAACCAGCGGCUCUCUGCGAAAAAACAAUCAUGGAGUUCUUGAGAAUACUUUGCGCAAAUUUAUGCCACAACAAUUUGUUGUUGCUCUUUGACAGUAACAGCAGCACAUAUGAUUACUCAACCAAAAAAUACAGCAGCAUAUAUGAUGUAGUGUUCAUUGUCCACCUUUUUCCUGCUAGGGUACAUUGACUGAUCUAUUUUUUAAAUUCCUGAUUCAUAUUUAGGAUGUGCUGCUUUUGGAUAUUAGUGGCCCCCCUAAAGUGGUACAGGCUAACUACAAGAAGUAUGUCCAAUCAGCGAGAUGGUGGAACUAUAAGAAAGGCAUCCGAGUGGAUGUGACUCGACUCUUCCGCAGAAAAAAACACGUCUUCACCACUCCGGAGAAGGGCACGUGUUGCACAGUGGUCAAGUAUAAAAAAGAUACAAUCACAUUUAUUAAGCAAGGUAGAUACUGGUGGGUUAAAGCCUACUGCAUUGAUGGUAAGGUGCAUGAGCUGAAACCGGAAGGUGACCAGAAGAACUACAUAGAGUGCUCGGACCACACAGUCCUUUCCUUUGGAGGUAACCACCAUGAUAUAUGCAAUGAUGACCCUGGAGGGUCGCUUACAGGUUUGGGUUACCUAAGAAAGGCAUUCACCUCCGUAAUCGAGGGUGGGAAGCGCAUAGACCCCAAGUUCGUAGGUCUUUUUGUUGUUUAUCUGGGUGAAGGUCCAAGGUUUGAGAUAGUUUUUCAAGCACUGUACAUGAACAUUCCCAGCCCAAAUUCUAUGCGCCUCGACUAUUUUAUUCCAUGGAUGAAUGAGCUUGUGCGUAACUGGAAUAAGCUGAGCAAAUAUGCCAUGAAGUACAUGCACUGUCUUCGCGAAGGAUUGGAGCUCCCAGAGUUAGACCAAGGCAUUGCUUUUCCAGGGAUGGACUCUAUUGAGAAAGUUCUUCAGUUGGUGAAGAUUCUACAGUUAGAUGCUUACAAUGCUGGUAUUUUCAGUCAUGAAAAAGCGCAACAGCCAGAUGUAUGGCGUGCACGUGAUGAGUCAUUUGCUAGAAAGGAAAAGGAUACACACUGCAAAAAGAAACAUGGAAAAGGUGCACCUCCUCCUGAGGAUUCUUUUGUACCUAUGGAUGACGGUCUGUUUCAUAUGUUGAAUGUCAAUGGGAAGGUGGAAAGUUUAUUUACAGAGCAGCCCCCUGGUCCUGAACUGAAACUGGGUCAAGGGCAUGGGCGGUUUUCAAAUAAAGCAAAAGUUAGUUCUCCAAGCUGCUACGCUAGAAGGAAGAUGAGCACCCAAGGAUGGGACAACGAGGUGUGUGUAAAAUGUUAAACAGCACUCAGAGCUAUAUCUUUUGCAUAUCCAUAUUGUAUAAUCUUCUCAAAACGUUUUAUUGCAGAUUCUUCAUCUGAAAAGGUCUAUUUUGGAUAUGCCAAUGGACAAACUGCUGCAUACCACCUUGGCGAGAAGACAAGUGCAAAUGCCCAUGAGGCUUCAUGUCAGCAUCAUAAAUACCUCAAAAAAAUGAAAAGUUCUUACAAAAACGACUACAUGGACAACCCAGAAGUGCUGUCCUUAUCGUUACCUCCCCAAAGACAAUAUAAAGGUUUGUAAAAAGUUGCUUUAGUUUGAAUGCUCUAUUAUUCACUUUAUAAUAUCUUUGCACCUCUUAUUGCAGGUUUUGGGUAUUGGAGGAACUGCAGAAUUUAUAGGUGAAAGAAUUGUACAAACCAGAAUGGUCAACAAAAGAAUGGCCAUGCUCGGGCCUUUGAUUCUCGGUAUGCACAUGGUGCAGACCUGCCCGCGGUGGCCAGGAACGUUUCCAGCUGCUAACAGCAAAGGACACAAUGUUUUGCAUCGGUUUAUUCUAAGCCCGCAGAGUCCUGCACAAGGUGAAGUUGGGAGGUAAUCUCUCUUAUUCCAAAAUUUUGACUCUACACUGAAAUAAGCACCAAGGUGGACAAAGUGGCCAGUGUCUUCUCCAUAUUCUCUUGCCUGAUUAAUGGCUACACACUGAUGUGUUUCUUCAAGCAAUGCCAUAAAUUUCUGUUUAGAUGUUGGCAAGUUUGUGUUAUUUAUUGUUUUGUAAAAAUGGUUGUAGAUAUCAACCCUAGGUUUUCUGUGUUCCCAGGAACAGAUUCAGACUUUUAAAAUAUGAGCUAUGCAACACUCCUCCAAUUUAUGAUGUUCUACUGCUCUGCCUUGCACUGUGACUCGGAUUUGUAGUGCUACAUGCCUACAUCAUAAAGUCUAGUUGGCCAUAAGUCUCUGUUUAGAUGCUGGCAAGUUUGCCUUAUUUUUCGUUAUGUAAAAAUGGUUGUAGAUAUCAACCAUAGGUUUUCUGUUUAUUCUAGUUCCCAGGAACAGAUUCAGACUUUUAAAAUAUGAGCCAUGCAACACUCCUCCAAUUUAUGAUGUUAUACUGCUCUGCCUUCCUCUGUGACUCAGAUUUUUAAUUGCUCUUGCUCAGCCUUGGAUUUUGCUCUGCUCAAUGCUCGCACGGUCACACCUCAUGCUAGCUACUAAUAAUAAUUUCUGCAGGUUAUGGCUGAGCUGCAAGGAGAAGCUGCAGAAUAUGGCUUCUGGCAAGAUUUGCAGCACAAGGAUAUAAUCGAAUGCAAGUUGUGCAAGAAAAUGCCCCAAGGAAACUGUGGAAAUCAGGAAAGAGAUGCUCGAGUUACUGAACCGCAAUUCAAGAAAGAAAAUGCCCCAAGGAAACUGUGAAUAUAUUGACUAUUGCCAGUAUAGAUUAUCUGGACCAUGUACUUCUGGUGACACUGUUACUCUCGACGUAAAUUUCUGUUCCAGAACAGCGUGCAAAUGCUAAAGACCAACUUGAUGAUUUGCUUGGUUUUAUGCAGAGGGGAUGCUGGGAGAGUUUUGUUUUCAUUUCUCUGGUCAGAGUUUAUGUGGUUAGAUAAUUAGUGAAGACUAUUUUGACAUUUCCAAGCGAGAUUUACAUAUUGGGUGAAACAUAAGAAAUUUAUCCUAAAUGAUAAUAAGAUUACAGAACCAGAAGGAAUUCAAAUGAAAAGUGGCAUCUGAACCAUAAGGUAUGUAAAUUAUACCAGACUAAAUUGCAGUUGCAUGCAUAAAAUCUGCAUUAAUUAGUAAACCAUGCAAGUUAAAUUCAGAACAUACCAUCUGAAAUCGAGUGCCUGUAGUUAGAUACAUCGUUUGUUGAUUGCCUUGGCCUCCAAAUUUCUAGUAUUAGAAACAAAAUUAAAUAAGUAAUAGCUGUAUUACAAAAUGUUCACGUUGAAUCAGCCUAGUGGAAUUGGAGCAUAUGAUGUCAUUAACAUUCUAGAUGACUUUGCUAAAAAAAAUCAUUUUGCAAGGAUUUGAAUAAACCCAUGAGGGGCUGCCAGCUUUGUUCCUCGGGUGAGGAUCGAAAUGCACCGUAUAACUAAGACAAACACCAUUUUAACUUAUAGUAGCCUUAUACCAUAAUUAUCAUAGCAUGCAAACUUGGUAGAGAACAUAAAAAUUAUAAACAGUAAACCAUUCAUGCUACCACCAAAACCAUGAUAAAUUCCGAAAGAAGAUCAUGUCAAACAUAAGGAGGCAAAGCAUCAAAGAGGGAAAUAGGGAAGAACUCACCAGUGCAGAGUCAACGAGACAAUUACAUCCCGCUUACGUGCAGCGGCGUCAGGGGUAGAACUGCGGCCAUCCCCGAAGUGAAGAAAAGAAGAGGAUAUUGCCGCAGCAUUUAGUGACACUGAUGGGUGGCCUCACUAGUAACAGCUGCAGUGGCCACAAAGUGGGGCGGUCUUCUUUAGAACACCAUACUAAACCACUAAUGCAUACAGACCCUUGCCCGCAGCAUGGGAGGUGGCUCUGUAAGAGAAUCAACAAUAUGGCAAGAAGAAGGGUUAUCAAUUGUAAGAUUGACAUGUGUCCUAAUUGCUCACAAUUUAAUCUGUGCGAGAAUCAACAAUAUGACGGGCGACUUGAUCUUAUUGUGACAGAGGAGUACGCAUCUCUAGAUUCUUAUCACCAUGUCUCAGUUCUAAAGAAGCAAUAGGGUCAGAGUAACCAUUUACUUGCAAUUUCCAUGUCAUUCUUUGUAAAUGUUAUACUACAUGGCACAUGCCCAUGUCAAAAGGGGAAAUCAUAUAUUCAUAUGCAACUCAAUGAUCAUAUGGUACAAAACCUGCAUCCUGUAAAAGAAUCCCCAGCCUAAUCAAAGAUGGCAAUUGAACACCCCAUGGUUGUAUUUCAUGCCAUGCAAGAAUUUCUCUGCAAGUAAUUCAUAUCAAUAGAACAAUCUGAGUGGGCACGGAAAUGCAUACAUUACAAUGGGAAAAGCUGAAGCUGAGUCAUCCAAGUAUGGAGCAGAUUGAACACCCUCAGAAACAGUCAACUACAGCUCACGCUUCCACUUCGCAUCAGUCAGUCUGCAUUUGAUGGACCUGGAGGUUUCUCCCUGGGAUGCUUUGAUCCAUAGUGAUCUAUCAACUGCCUCUCGUUAGCCUGUUGUGCCUGCACACAUAGAAGAUGUUACAUUAGGUUGACACUGCAUCAAUCAUGAGGAACAUGUAUCCAUGUAAAGCUAACUAUACACUAGUAUAUACGGUUAUGCUUGCACACAGUUUUCAACUUGAUUCACAUCAACAUGAACCCAAGCAAAAUAUUCCACGAAUUUCUUCAUGAAAUCCAGACCAUGUGACCAUGUCUAAAAAAGAAAUCAUAUGUAACUCAGCAAGCAUAUGCCAGCACAGUUGCAUCCUAACAAUGAUCAUAUGGUACAUAAAAACAGAAGCCCAGAGCCGAG